rnacentral:rRNA from 1 species
GCUAGCGUUGCUCGGAAUUACUGGGCGUAAAGCGCACGUAGGCGGAUAUUUAAGUCAGGGGUGAAAUCCCGGGGCUCAACCCCGGAACUGCCUUUGAUACUGGGUAUCUGGAGUAUGGAAGAGGUGAGUGGAAUUCCGAGUGUAGAGGUGAAAUUCGUAGAUAUUCGGAGGAACACCAGUGGCGAAGGCGGCUCACUGGUCCAUUACUGACGCUGAGGUGCGAAAGCGUGGGGAGCAAACAGG